rnacentral:rRNA from 1 species
GGUUAAGCGACUAAGCGUACACGGUGGAUGCCCUGGCAGUCAGAGGCGAUGAAGGACGUGCUAAUCUGCGAUAAGCGUCGGUGAGGUGAUAUGAACCGUUAUAACCGGCGAUUUCCGAAUGGGGAAACCCAGUGUGAUUCGUCACACUAUCAUUAACUGAAUCCAUAGGUUAAUGAGGCGAACCGGGGAACUGAAACAUCUAAGUACCCCGAGGAAAAGAAAUCAACCGAGAUUCCCCCAGUAGCGGCGAGCGAACGGGGAGCAGCCCAGAGCCUGAAUCAGUGUGUGUGUUAGUGGAAGCGUCUGGAAAGGCGCGCGAUACAGGGUGACAGCCCCGUACACAAAAAUGCACAUAUUGUGAGCUCGAUGAGUAGGGCGGGACACGUGGUAUCCUGUCUGAAUAUGGGGGGACCAUCCUCCAAGGCUAAAUACUCCUGACUGACCGAUAGUGAACCAGUACCGUGAGGGAAAGGCGAAAAGAACCCCGGCGAGGGGAGUGAAAAAGAACCUGAAACCGUGUACGUACAAGCAGUGGGAGCACGCUUAGGCGUGUGACUGCGUACCUUUUGUAUAAUGGGUCAGCGACUUAUAUUCUGUAGCAAGGUUAACCGAAUAGGGGAGCCGAAGGGAAACCGAGUCUUAACUGGGCGUUAAGUUGCAGGGUAUAGACCCGAAACCCGGUGAUCUAGCCAUGGGCAGGUUGAAGGUUGGGUAACACUAACUGGAGGACCGAACCGACUAAUGUUGAAAAAUUAGCGGAUGACUUGUGGCUGGGGGUGAAAGGCCAAUCAAACCGGGAGAUAGCUGGUUCUCCCCGAAAGCUAUUUAGGUAGCGCCUCGUGAAUUCAUCUCCGGGGGUAGAGCACUGUUUCGGCAAGGGGGUCAUCCCGACUUACCAACCCGAUGCAAACUGCGAAUACCGGAGAAUGUUAUCACGGGAGACACACGGCGGGUGCUAACGUCCGUCGUGAAGAGGGAAACAACCCAGACCGCCAGCUAAGGUCCCAAAGUCAUGGUUAAGUGGGAAACGAUGUGGGAAGGCCCAGACAGCCAGGAUGUUGGCUUAGAAGCAGCCAUCAUUUAAAGAAAGCGUAAUAGCUCACUGGUCGAGUCGGCCUGCGCGGAAGAUGUAACGGGGCUAAACCAUGCACCGAAGCUGCGGCAGCGACGCUGAUGCGUUGUUGGGUAGGGGAGCGUUCUGUAAGCCUGCGAAGGUGUGCUGUGAGGCAUGCUGGAGGUAUCAGAAGUGCGAAUGCUGACAUAAGUAACGAUAAAGCGGGUGAAAAGCCCGCUCGCCGGAAGACCAAGGGUUCCUGUCCAACGUUAAUCGGGGCAGGGUGAGUCGACCCCUAAGGCGAGGCCGAAAGGCGUAGUCGAUGGGAAACAGGUUAAUAUUCCUGUACUUGGUGUUACUGCGAAGGGGGGACGGAGAAGGCUAUGUUGGCCGGGCGACGGUUGUCCCGGUUUAAGCGUGUAGGCUGGUUUUCCAGGCAAAUCCGGAAAAUCAAGGCUGAGGCGUGAUGACGAGGCACUACGGUGCUGAAGCAACAAAUGCCCUGCUUCCAGGAAAAGCCUCUAAGCAUCAGGUAACAUCAAAUCGUACCCCAAACCGACACAGGUGGUCAGGUAGAGAAUACCAAGGCGCUUGAGAGAACUCGGGUGAAGGAACUAGGCAAAAUGGUGCCGUAACUUCGGGAGAAGGCACGCUGAUAUGUAGGUGAAGUCCCUUGCGGAUGGAGCUGAAAUCAGUCGAAGAUACCAGCUGGCUGCAACUGUUUAUUAAAAACACAGCACUGUGCAAACACGAAAGUGGACGUAUACGGUGUGACGCCUGCCCGGUGCCGGAAGGUUAAUUGAUGGGGUUAGCGCAAGCGAAGCUCUUGAUCGAAGCCCCGGUAAACGGCGGCCGUAACUAUAACGGUCCUAAGGUAGCGAAAUUCCUUGUCGGGUAAGUUCCGACCUGCACGAAUGGCGUAAUGAUGGCCAGGCUGUCUCCACCCGAGACUCAGUGAAAUUGAACUCGCUGUGAAGAUGCAGUGUACCCGCGGCAAGACGGAAAGACCCCGUGAACCUUUACUAUAGCUUGACACUGAACAUUGAGCCUUGAUGUGUAGGAUAGGUGGGAGGCUUAGAAGUGUGGACGCCAGUCUGCAUGGAGCCGACCUUGAAAUACCACCCUUUAAUGUUUGAUGUUCUAACGUUGACCCGUAAUCCGGGUUGCGGACAGUGUCUGGUGGGUAGUUUGACUGGGGCGGUCUCCUCCUAAAGAGUAACGGAGGAGCACGAAGGUUGGCUAAUCCUGGUCGGACAUCAGGAGGUUAGUGCAAUGGCAUAAGCCAGCUUGACUGCGAGCGUGACGGCGCGAGCAGGUGCGAAAGCAGGUCAUAGUGAUCCGGUGGUUCUGAAUGGAAGGGCCAUCGCUCAACGGAUAAAAGGUACUCCGGGGAUAACAGGCUGAUACCGCCCAAGAGUUCAUAUCGACGGCGGUGUUUGGCACCUCGAUGUCGGCUCAUCACAUCCUGGGGCUGAAGUAGGUCCCAAGGGUAUGGCUGUUCGCCAUUUAAAGUGGUACGCGAGCUGGGUUUAGAACGUCGUGAGACAGUUCGGUCCCUAUCUGCCGUGGGCGCUGGAGAACUGAGGGGGGCUGCUCCUAGUACGAGAGGACCGGAGUGGACGCAUCACUGGUGUUCGGGUUGUCAUGCCAAUGGCACUGCCCGGUAGCUAAAUGCGGAAGAGAUAAGUGCUGAAAGCAUCUAAGCACGAAACUUGCCCCGAGAUGAGUUCUCCCUGACUCCUUGAGAGUCCUGAAGGAACGUUGAAGACGACGACGUUGAUAGGCCGGGUGUGUAAGCGCAGCGAUGCGUUGAGCUAACCGGUACUAAUGAACCGUGAGGCUUAACCUU